CCUGCUCGGAGUCCAAGUAUGGCUCAGUGCGUCUCCGACUCUUGAGACGAGCGCAUCGCACCACACGCAGAGACGUUGUGUGGAGCUGAACCGGACCUGUCGGAACCGAACUACUUUGGAACUUUUUUUUUUUUGGAAAUAACGAUGAUCGCUCUUCACUCUCGCACUUAAAUUACUUUUACGCACGGAUUCUUUGGACGCGUCAAGAGGAUUUAAUGGCACUGCGCUGAUACACGUGGGGAUUUCGUAUAAGUUUUAAAAGUUGAUCACCUGAACAAUGGCGACAGUUGACGGAUUCAGCACUCCAGCUGUGGAUCUUUACGCAGGAAAUCCAGAGGAUUUGGUGCGCUGGACAGAUCGGAGUCCGGAUCGAGUCUCCGGGGAAACUUUACGCGCGUUCCGCUGUGACAAGUGCCUAUUUACCAAUAAUUUGAUGUACGUUUGGAAAACACCUGGACGGAUUUACGAACAAGAAUGGAAUAUCCUGGAAUAAUUUAAACAGGUGACCGCCUUAUCCUGCGGUUUGGAUCAUGGAUCUCCCGAUCAGUCCUCUGCAGAUAAUCUUACAGUCCCGGAAAGACACAACCAAACCCAUAGCUGUAAUCCAGAGCUUCCUAUAAUAACCUCAGGUGAGCUGAGGCUGAGUGGUGGAAAUGUGAUUGAACUCAAGAGCUUCAGCAGUCAGCCACUUGCAAGUAUACACAAAAUAAGACAAACAUUUUAACUAAAAAGGAGCUGGGGGAGGUGUGUGGAUUAGGAGGUCUGGGCGGCUUUGCUUGAGCUGCUGCCCCCACGACCCGACUCCGGAUAAAGCGAGGUACAUGGUGUGUGGCACAAACCCGGAUUCACUACCACUGCUGUGGAAAUUGCCUCAAAUUGUUGGUUUAUAUUGAUGAUCUUCAAAUGUGUCUUCCUGCAACUGAGGAGCUGUUCAUGGCACAGGAACAUUGUAAAUCCCAGUUUUGGACAGAAGAUCAGGAUCCCUGCUGCAGAUGUUUGCACCUGGCUCAACGCUUAACUACUGACGGCUUGAUCUCAGUCACUGACAGGCUUGUUCUUGG